CCGUAACUAUAACGGUCCUAAGGUAGCGAAAUUCCUUGUCGGGUAAGUUCCGACCCGCACGAAAGGCGUAAUGAUUUGAGCGCUGUCUCGACAAUGCAUCCGGUGAAAUUGAAGUACCAGUGAAGAUGCUGGUUACCUGCGCCAGGACGGAAAGACCCCAUGGAGCUUUACUCCAGCUUGAUACUGGGAUCCGAUGCUGUAUGUACAGGAUAGGUGGGAGGCUAAGAAGCGGUGACGCCAGUUGCCGCAGAGCCGAUGUUGGGAUACCACCCUUGCAGUAUUGGAUUUCUAACCAGCUGCCGUGACCCGGCAGUGGGACAAUGUCUGGCGGGGAGUUUGACUGGGGCGGUCGCCUCCGAAAGGGUAUCGGAGGCGCUCAAAGGUUCCCUCAGAAUGGUUGGAAACCAUUCGAAGAGUGCAAAGGCAGAAGGGAGCUUGACUGCGACACCGACGGGUGGAGCAGGUACGAAAGUAGGACUUAGUGAUCCGGUGGUAUUAAGUGGGAAUGCCAUCGCUCAACGGAUAAAAGCUACCCUGGGGAUAACAGGCUUAUCACUCCCAAGAGUUCACAUCGACGGAGUGGUUUGGCACCUCGAUGUCGGCUCAUCGCAUCCUGGGGCUGUAGCAGGUCCCAAGGGUUGGGCUGUUCGCCCAUUAAAGCGGUACGCGAGCUGGGUUCAGAACGUCGUGAGACAGUUCGGUCCCUAUCUGUCGUGGGCGAAGGAUAUUUGAAAGGAGCUGUCCCUAGUACGAGAGGACCGGGAUGGACGCACCUCUGGUGCACCAGUUGUCACGCCAGUGGCACAGCUGGGCAGCUAAGUGCGGAUCGGAUAAACGCUGAAAGCAUCUAAGCGUGAAGCCGUCCUUAAGAUAAGAUAUCCCACUUUUAAGUUAAGACCCCUUGUAGACUACGAGGUUGAUAGGUCUAAGGUGUAAGUUGUGUGAGCAAUUUAGCCAGCAGAUACUAAUCGGUCGAGGGCUUAAACCU
rnacentral:rRNA from 1 species